rnacentral:rRNA from 1 species
UACGGGGGGGGCAAGCGUUGUUCGGAAUUACUGGGCGUAAAGGGCUCGUAGGCGGCCAACUAAGUCAGACGUGAAAUCCCCAGGCUUAACCUGGGAACUGCGUCUGAUACUGGAUGGCUUGAAUUCGGGAGAGGGAUGCAGAAUUCCAGGUGCAGCGGUGAAAUGCGUAGAUAUCUGGAGGAAUACCGGUGGCGAAGGCGGCAUCCUGGACCGACAUUGACGCUGAUGAGCGAAAGCUAGGGGAGCAAACGGG